UCCUGCCUCAUUUCAGCUUCCAAAGUCCCACUGAGCUCUGGCUCAAGAUGGCUGGACUAGAUCUGAGGACAUGAGAAGAAAAGUGGUGGCCAGCCCUGUAGCUGGAGAUCUGAGCAGUCUGGGCUCGGAGGGCUGACAGCCAUGAAGCUAAGACUUCAGCCUUUUAGGGCAAAAAGCAGACACAGCAAACAGCUCAAGACCUCUGCCGUACGCCAGCCUCCUUUUCAGAAGAACAAAGACAGGCUUCAAUCACAGCAGACCCAGAAGGUGACCACACCUUUGCUGCACAGCUCUGCUAUGCAGGACCAAAGACCCGUUACUGCACAAGGAGAGAUGAAAGCACAAACACGAGAAAUGCCGGCAGAGGAACAGGAGUCAGUGAGGGGCUCUUUGGCAUCUUGGUCCCUCGGUGAGGGACCCACACUGGGCAACCUGGAGCCGUGCAGGAGGUAGGAUUCUCUGGUGUGCUGAGCUACUAGCUGCUCAGGUUAGGAGUGUGGCUGUGGUUUUCAUGCCACCUUUCACCCAGUCACUAAACAAGAGUGGCCACCUUUCUGCCUUUUCCUCCUCUAAUGGUAAGGAUGGAGGAUGGAGCCUUGUAUGCUAAGAGUCCUCUACCUGCAACUACAACUUUUUUUUGGGGGGGGGAUGGGGUUGGGGGUGGUCGGUGGCGGGGGUUUCUUUAUGUAGCCCAGGCUGUCUUAGAACUCAAUCUGUAGAUCAGAGUGGCCUGAACUCACAGAGAUCUGCUUGCCUCUGCGUGGGAUUAAAAGAGUGCUGCUGUGCUGGGAUUAAAGGUGUGUGCCACUACCUCAUAGCAACAAUCCCCAUUUUAUAGAGAGAAAAACAGAGGCUGUGGUGGAGGACAAGAAGUAGGGCAGAGCUGGCUUGAAAGCUAGCACUCAAUGACUGUUAUGAGAGCUGGUUACACAGAUGAAGUUUUGUCAGAACUCACUGACCGAGGUUGGUAGAGUUUAUUAUAUAUAAAUCAUGCCUCAGAAGGAUGGUUUCAAACACCUGGACACAGAGCAGUCCCUGUGUGCCUUGCCUGCACCUCUCCUUCGAGGUUAUUCUCUUGGGUCUCCCUCCUCACACUUAGGGUUCAAAGCUAACCCUGUGUCCUUGGCAAAGGUUCCUGAUCGUCCUCUGACAAUUGCACAGUUUGAGGAAAAGAUCUACUGUCCAAUCCGGGCUACUGAAAGCCUACUCUGGAUUUUUAUAGUUCUUUCUGUCAGGGCUACUUAGCUGGGGCUGAUGGUAGCCAUCUUUCUACUAGAUGGGGAAAAAGGGAAGCAGAGUCAAGAGAUGGCAAAGGGCAGCUUUCCACUCAUGGAUGCGACAUCCAGGCUCAGCCUUAUCUGAGGAUAACAUUACUAUUAUUAGCCAGCCAGCCCUUUCUUUUCCUACUGCCAGGCUGCUUUGGCUUUUCUGUUCCUUUUUUCUUCUCUUCUUUUCUUUUCUUUUUUUUUUUUUUCCGAGACAGGGUUUCUCUGAGUAGCUCUGGCUGUCCUGGAACUCACUCUGUAGACCAGGUUGGCCUUGAACUCAGAAAUCCACCUGCCUCUGCCUCCCAAGUGCUGGGAUUAAAGGCAUGCGCCACCACUGCCCAGCGGCUUUUCCAUUUCUUAAAAGAGCCCUAACUCGGAGCUGGAGAGAAUGCUCGGCAGUUAGUGGGCUUGCUGCUCUUAUAGAGACCUAGCUCUGGUUCCCAGCACCCAUAUGGUGGUCAUGGCUGUAACUCCAGGGAUCUGAUGCCACUGGGCUCCAGGACACUGGCAUUCAUCACCCUCAACCCCCAUCUCUUUCCUGCACAUACACACAUAAUUAAAAACAGCAAAAAUAGAUCUUUUAAAAACAGAUUCCUAGUGCACCAGAAUGCUCUAACAUACCGAAAACCUGUGUCCUUUAGUGUGUAUGUGUACCAUGGUAAAUGAAGGGAAGAGAAAGCCAUACAAGUAUGAGAAGGACUCUGGAAAUACCACAGUCUCUUUUAAAUCCCAGUUAUUAACUUGCCAUGGAGACACAUGUUUGUGAUCCCAGCACUUUGGAAGUGAGGCAAAGCAAUCUCAAGUUCAAGGCCAGCCUGGCAUAUUCAGAGAUGCCUACCCUGUCUCAAAAAUAAAAUAAAAUAAAAUAAAAUAAAAUAAAAUAAAUAUUUUGUCUUAUAUUGCAGAGGGAAUUUUGAAGCAAUGAAUGAUGGUGUCCUCAUUAUUUGUUUUGUCUGUUUUUUUAUCAACUUGACACAGGCUAUAUAGUCUUUUGAGACAAGGGAACCUUAAUUGAGAAAAUGCCCUUGCAAGAUGGGCCUGUGGUUAUGCCUAUUGGUAUUCUCUUGAUUAAUGGCUGAAUUGGGAGGGCCAAGCUCACUGUGGGUGGUGCUGUGUCGGGUGGUCCUGGGCUGUUCCAAAAAAAGGCUGAGCAAGCCAUGAGGAACAAAUAAGACAAUAAACAGCAUUCUUCCACAGUUUCAGUUCCUGCCUUCCUGACUUCUUUUGAUGACAGACUGUGAUGUGGAAGUGUAAGCUAAAUAAACCUAAGCUGGUUUUGGUUAUGAUUUUUUUAUCACAGCAAUAGAAACACUCUCUAAGACAAUGGUCAAUACAUAGUUCAAGGUUAUAGGCUGGGCACAGGCUUUUCUGAUUUGCAAAGCCCUCAUUCUUACCUAAAUACUGGUGAUGUGCUUCUGGGUUUGUUGUGCCUUUUCAUUUUGAUAAUGUAUUUUUUAUAGGCUUCCUUUUGGCAUCAAGAGAAUCUUUUUUCCACUGGACUUAGAAACUCUUUAAUCCACAACACCAGAAAGGCCAGUGCUGUUCUCAUGUCAGUGCGGCCCACUCUCACUGGACCUUCUGCUGCCCAGCACUGCCCUUCUGCUCGGUCCUGGGUCAGCGGCAGUGCAGAAUGCAUGCUGCACACACUCCCACAGCACAGCAGGUCAAAUGACAGAGCAAAGCCUGUAUCCCCUGGCCCACUAGUGCGAGACAGGAUGGCCAACUCACUCAGAUC